GUGGAGUUGAUGCGAGUGAGAAUGCAGGCAUGAGUAGCGUGUGACGGGUGGGAAUCCCGUCCGCCGAUUAUCCAAGGGUUCCAGGGUCAAGUUUGUCUGCCCUGGGUGAGUCGGGUCCUAAGGCGAGGCCGACAGGCGUAGUCGAUGGGUAACCAGUUGAUCUUCUGGUACCGGCUUGUCACCGUCCGUGUCGAGGUGUGUGAUGCUAAGCAUGUGAGCUUGUCUUGGGAGUGUUUUUGAUGCUU
rnacentral:rRNA from 1 species